rnacentral:rRNA from 1 species
GUCUACGGCCAUACCACCCUGACGCACCCGAUCUCGUCUGAUCUCCGAAUGGGAGCUAAGUAGGGUCGGGCCUGGUUAGUACUUGGAUGGGAGAAAAGCCUCUGAUUCUUGGCACAAAGUCA